ACAAAUUUCUUGAAGCCAUUUGGAAGAUAAUGACGAGUCUUCUUGUCCGAACCAUAGCCAAUGUUAGGCAUCAGAGUACAUCCCUUAAACUUCCUUCGGACUCUAGAAUCAAUACCUUUUGGUCUACGCCAGUUUGUCUUGACAGAGAUCUUGCGGUCACUCUGUGGCCUCUUGAACUUCUUGACCCUCUUCUUUACGAUCUUCUUCGACAGCAACGGCACCGCCAUUUUUACNCAUUUUUACUUACCUCCUGCAAAAAAGAUUCAAUCACCCUCUGUCAUACAUAGGGAGGAAC
rnacentral:misc_RNA from 1 species